rnacentral:rRNA from 1 species
GUGCCAGCAGCCGCGGUAAUACGUAGGUGGCGAGCGUUGUCCGGAAUUACUGGGUGUAAAGGGCGUGUAGGCGGGUUAUUAAGUCAGAUGUGAAAUUCCAGAGCUCAACUCUGGCGCUGCAUCUGAAACUGGUAAUCUUGAGUGUUGGAGAGGAAAGCGGAAUUCCUAGUGUAGCGGUGAAAUGCGUAGAUAUUAGGAGGAACACCAGUGGCGAAGGCGGCUUUCUGGACAAUAACUGACGCUGAGGCGCGAAAGCGUGGGGAGCAAACAGGAUUAGAUACCCUGGUAGUCCACGCUGUAAACGAUGGAUACUAGGUGUAGGGGGUAUCGACCCCCUCUGUGCCGCAGUUAACACAAUAAGUAUCCCACCUGGGGAGUACGGCCGCAAGGUUGAA